UGUGCCAGACGGAGGUCUAUUUGUCUCGGGUGGUUAAUGCAGCUGCCGUGGUGGGAUUGUUGUGACUUUCAGGAAGUGAAAUCGGGGCCUUCUGCCAGAGCCGGUGACUAACAACACGCCGCCGCCGCCUAAUGUUGGAGGGAAUUACAUGCUCGGAUUGGAGAUGACACUCGCUCGCUGAGUUAGAUCAAAGCGGCCAGAUUAUUUGGCCGGAGGAAAAGACGACCGCUGAAUUUAAAAGAAGUGAUAGCUCUGUGUGUGUGUGGCUGCAGUCGCGUUCUUAUUA